GUAAUUAUAUCAAAAUUGAAUGCAGCAAAGGCUUCGUUGUGACGAUGUCAUAUUCUUCUUCUUGUGGCCUUCAUACCUCUCUUAAAAUUUUCACCGCCAACACUUCACGCUAUUUUUCCCUGUCGUGAAUUAUUUCGCUCCAUUCGACCACGCCAAUCCAUGACUGAGUCUUUCUCGGAGGUUUUUAUUUCAUCGCCUCUCUGACGUUAUCACUCUCAUUUUAUAGCCUAGCCAUUAUUGCUUGUGCCCUUUAAUAUACCUAACUGGUUAAUGGUGCCAUGUGGACCAUGUCGUGAAGUCUUACCUUCGGCAUAUUUAUACCCAUAUUUGGGACCACUAGACCACUUAUUCUCGUCUACAUUCUGUAAGUCGUCAGUUUUUUUUCAGUUUGGCUAGUUGUAAUCUAGAUAGGAAACCUUCCCGUAAAUAAUAAUU